UUUAUCCCCGGCAGCAUGUGCGUAUACUCGAGCUAUCGGGAGCUCUACUAGAGAUCAUGAAUUACGCUAACCAUGGAGUGGCGGACUAUGGUUAUUUUAAUAUCGUGCCUCUGUUUCUUCGCGAUACCCAUCAGAGUGGGCCGCGACACAACGGAAGACGACAUCAAGUUGUUCGAGGGUUACAUCCGGCGUUACAAUAAAUCAUACAAGCACGACCCCUUGGAGUAUGACAAGAGACUCGAGAGAUUCCAGAGAUCUUUGCGGCACAUUGAGCGCAUGAAUUCUGAACGGAUUUCCAAGGACAGUGCCUUGUAUGGACCCACGGAAUUUUCCGACUUGUCCGAAGAGGAGUUUCUCCAGUUGACUUUGCAGCCGGACUUAUCGGCCAGAAGCGAGAGGCAUCACAAUCGUUAUCAUACGCGGGAAAAUACUCGACGGCUUGGCGCCGAUGUUAAAAGAUUAAAAAGGGCUGCCGGCAUUCCUUUGAAAUUCGACUGGCGGGAUAAAAAAGUGAUAACCCCGGUCAGGAACCAAGGAACAUGCGGAGCUUGUUGGGCGUUCAGCACCGUAGAAGUAGCUGAGUCGAUGUUCGCCAUAAAAAAUGGAUCCCUUCAGCAACUCAGCGUGCAAGAGAUGAUCGACUGCGCCAAGAACAGCAAUUUCGGCUGCGAGGGCGGAGACAUCUGCAGUCUCUUAACAUGGCUCAUGGGCUCGAAGAUCUCCAUUGUCCCUGAAUCUAACUAUCCUUUGACUUGGAAAACGGACGCCUGUAAGCUGGGAAAAACCGCAUCGAAGACCCCGGGGCUGCGAGUUUCGGAUUUCACCUGCGACAGUUUCGUCGAUUCGGAGGACGAGCUUUUGGCCACUCUUGCGGGACAUGGACCUGUGGCUGCGGCAGUAAACGCACUUACUUGGCAGAAUUAUUUGGGAGGAGUUAUCCACUUCCACUGUGACGGUUCUUUCUUAAACCUGAAUCACGCUGUACAGAUCGUGGGAUACGACACAACAGGGCCGAUACCGUUCUACAUAAUUAAGAAUUCCUGGGGCACCUUGUUCGGCGACAAAGGUUACCUGUACAUCGGAAUCGGGAGCAAUUUAUGCGGGAUCGCGAACCAGGUGUCUUCCCUGAACGUGAUUUAAGGAGAAGAACGGCAUCGCCAUCCCCACUGUAUACAUACAUUGACGUAUAGAACCUCGGUCGGUCGCCAAGAGAGUCUGCGCUUGGUGCGAAACUCAGCCGAGUUUCCUUAACCUCGAGCAGCUUCCUUCAAAUUCAGCACAGCGUUUGAUUAACAGAUUCCAAUGCUCUAUAUUUAUGACCGUGUCGAUUAACAAAUACAUACAUGCUUCGUAUUAAGAAGUGCUCGUAUAACAUACAUUGACGUAUAGAACCUCGGUCGGUCGCCAAGAGAGUCUGCGCUUGGUGCGAAACUCAGCCGAGUUUCCUUUACCUCAAUCAGCUUCCCUCAAAUCCAACACAGCGUUUCAAUAACAGAUUCCAAUGCUCUAUAUUUAUGACCGUGUCGAUUAACAAAUACAUACAUGCUUCGUAUUAAGAAGUGCUCGGAAGGAGCGAGACUUCCAGGAGUUAGUUGUAAUUAGUAAUAGUACAGUGAAUCGGAUAGUAUUUUUUUAUGCAGACGGUCCACGUGCGAGGAAAAUGGACCCCGUGCUCCGAAUGGUGGAAAGUAGACUAUAUAUUCAAAUAAAAAUUAAUAUGUGAAA
rnacentral:misc_RNA from 1 species